CUACGGGCGGCUCCAGUAGGGAAUCUUAGACAAUGGGGGAAACCCUGAUCUAGCCACGCCGCGUGAGUGAUGAAGGCCUUAGGGUUGUAAAGCUCUUUCGCUGGGGAAGAUAAUGACGGUACCCAGUAACGAAACCCCGGCUAACUCCGUGCCAGCAGCCGCGGUAAUACGGAGGGGGUUAGCGUUGUUCGGAAUUACUGGGCGUAAAGCGCGCGUAGGCGGGCUAUUAAGUCAGGGGUGAAAUCCCGGGGCUCAACCCCGGAACUGCCUUUGAUACUGGUAGUCUUGAGUUCGAGAGAGGUGAGUGGAAUUCCGAGUGUAGAGGUGAAAUUCGUAGAUAUUCGGAGGAACAUCAGUGGCGAAGGCGACUCACUGGCUCGAUACUGACGCUGAGGUGCGAAAGUGUGGGGAGCAAACAGGAUUAGAUACCCUUGUAGUC
rnacentral:rRNA from 1 species